CUCUCCACUCCUACAAUCUCACUCUGUCUCUCUCUCGAUCGACUCAUCUUCUCCGUCCACCUAAAAUCGAGGUUUGCUUCACAACAGCCUCCAAUGGCUUCCUUCAAUGUUCCCUUUCCCAAGGCGCGCUUAGCCCCCGUUACCCGCCUUGGCUCCUCCGCCCAGCCGCAGCAGCACCUACUCUCCUUCCACAAUUGCCUCAGUCGCUGCCCCAUUCCAUCUCUGUAGAUUUCUGGCCUUCAGACUCCCGGUGCGAACUUGAACAACCUGCGAACAAGGAAGAGCUUUUGAGGAGCACCAUUGUGCUGUCGGUCCAAGAUAUAUUCCCCGACACCCAAGUUAGUGUUCGAUUGGUAUUGUUGAAUGAACUCAGGGAAAGAGUUAUAAAGUUAAUUUGUAUCUCAGCUCUAGGGUUUAGAAUGACCGAUGCUUAUAUCCAUUUUGAGGUGUAUCUUGAGAAUCCAUGAGUGGAUAUUACUCUCAAGCGGUGUAGUUCUCGAAUAAGAUAUGAGGAUCACGUUCAUACUAUUCAGACCUGGAUUCUCUUAGUUAAGCUCGAGCUAGGGCUUGGAACGUUCUUUAUAGGUUAUUGGCAGAGUCAUGCUUAUUUAAGAUGAUUAGGGAAUGUCCAUGGUGUUGUAGACAUAUUGAGACCCGGACUUGAAUGUUCUGCUAGAUCUGAAGAUGAUGGUGAUAUCGUCUCCAAGCUCUGAGAGGACACGUGAGAGGUCCAUGCCAUUGCAUGAUCCGACAGCCUCCAACCAUGGGAAUGUGCCAAUAAAUCCUAAACUCUUGAAAUUCUCAUUCAUCUUCUAAAUUUAACUUGCACAUAUUUCUACAUCGUGUAGCUCUUGACUCGUGUGACAAUAUCUAACAUGCUUAUUCCUUUUCUUGGUUGUAGGUAGCAACAAGAUUCUCAAGGUGUGCCAAUUAAAUUAUGCUACAAAGGACGUGAAUGGGGGUAGUUGAUCUACUCACCAAAUAUAUAUACUAUAAUAUAUAGGAAAUUGUUAUUGACACUUCAAAAAUCUCAUUCUACAUUCCAAACUUUCUAUAUUUGAAAAGAAAAAUACACUUGUGAGGAGUGUAGAAUGAGAUUUUUGAAGUGUUAAUAACACUUCCCAAUAUAUAUAGUGGUGCAUAAAUAUAACUUGAGGGCCUUUAGAUAUCGGUGUAUUUCCACCACUGUAUGAAUGCAUGACAUUUAAGUGAUAUCAAAAAAAAAAAAAAAAAAAAAAAAAAAACAACUAAAACAAGAAGAAGAAGAAGAAGAAGAGGUAUAAUGGAGAAAAAAAAGUUGUGAAUAUCACUUUGAACAUGCAUGCAUUAUUUGGUACGUCAAAGAAAAUAGAGUUCCCUAUAUAUAAAGAUAUGUUAACAUGUGGAGUGCUG